CUUAUGCGUUGUUGGGUAGGGGAGCGUUCUGUAAGCCUGCGAAGGUGGCCUGUGAGGGUUGCUGGAGGUAUCAGAAGUGCGAAUGCUGACAUAAGUAACGAUAAAGCGGGUGAAAAGCCCGCUCGCCGGAAGACCAAGGGUUCCUGUCCAACGUUAAUCGGGGCAGGGUGAGUCGACCCCUAAGGCGAGGCCGAAAGGCGUAGUCGAUGGGAAACGGGUUAAUAUUCCCGUACUUGGUGUUACUGCGAAGGGGGGACGGAGAAGGCUAUGUUGGCCGGGCGACGGUUGUCCCGGUUUAAGCGUGUAGGUGUGUGUUCCAGGUAAAUCCGGUUCACUUUAACACUGAGGCGUGACGACGAGGCACUACGGUGCUGAAGCAACAAAUGCCCUGCUUCCAGGAAAAGCCUCUAAGCAUCAGGUAACAUCAAAUCGUACCCCAAACCGACACAGGUGGUCAGGUAGAGAAUACCAAGGCGCUUGAGAGAACUCGGGUGAAGGAACUAGGCAAAAUGGUGCCGUAACUUCGGGAGAAGGCACGCUGACACGUAGGUGAAGUGAUUUACUCAUGGAGCUGAAGUCAGUCGAAGAUACCAGCUGGCUGCAACUGUUUAUUAAAAACACAGCACUGUGCAAACACGAAAGUGGACGUAUACGGUGUGACGCCUGCCCGGUGCCGGAAGGUUAAUUGAUGGGGUCAGCGCAAGCGAAGCUCCUGAUCGAAGCCCCGGUAAACGGCGGCCGUAACUAUAACGGUCCUAAGGUAGCGAAAUUCCUUGUCGGGUAAGUUCCGACCUGCACGAAUGGCGUAAUGAUGGCCAGGCUGUCUCCACCCGAGACUCAGUGAAAUUGAACUCGCUGUGAAGAUGCAGUGUACCCGCGGCAAGACGGAAAGACCCCGUGAACCUUUACUAUAGCUUGACACUGAACAUUGAGCCUUGAUGUGUAGGAUAGGUGGGAGGCUUUGAAGUGUGGACGCCAGUCUGCAUGGAGCCGACCUUGAAAUACCACCCUUUAAUGUUUGAUGUUCUAACGUGGACCCGUUACCCGGGUUGCGGACAGUGUCUGGUGGGUAGUUUGACUGGGGCGGUCUCCUCCUAAAGAGUAACGGAGGAGCACGAAGGUUGGCUAAUCCUGGUCGGACAUCAGGAGGUUAGUGCAAUGGCAUAAGCCAGCUUGACUGCGAGCGUGACGGCGCGAGCAGGUGCGAAAGCAGGUCAUAGUGAUCCGGUGGUUCUGAAUGGAAGGGCCAUCGCUCAACGGAUAAAAGGUACUCCGGGGAUAACAGGCUGAUACCGCCCAAGAGUUCAUAUCGACGGCGGUGUUUGGCACCUCGAUGUCGGCUCAUCACAUCCUGGGGCUGAAGUAGGUCCCAAGGGUAUGGCUGUUCGCCAUUUAAAGUGGUACGCGAGCUGGGUUUAGAACGUCGUGAGACAGUUCGGUCCCUAUCUGCCGUGGGCGCUGGAGAACUGAGGGGGGCUGCUCCUAGUACGAGAGGACCGGAGUGGACGCAUCACUGGUGUUCGGGUUGUCAUGCCAAUGGCACUGCCCGGUAGCUAAAUGCGGAAGAGAUAAGUGCUGAAAGCAUCUAAGCACGAAACUUGCCCCGAGAUGAGUUCUCCCUGAGACUUAAAGUCUCCUGAAGGAACGUUGAAGACGACGACGUUGAUAGGCCGGGUGUGUAAGCGCAGCGAUGCGUUGAGCUAACCGGUACUAAUGAACCGUGAGGCUUAACCUUA
rnacentral:rRNA from 1 species